rnacentral:rRNA from 1 species
UGAGUUUGAUCCUGGCUCAGAGUGAACGCUAGUAAUAUGCCUAACACAUGCUAGUUGAACGGAAAUUUUUAAAUUUCAGUAGCGUAAGGGUGAGUAAUACGUGAGAAUCUGCCUAAAAGUUCAGUAUACUUCUGUUAUAGAUUAAUUCUGAAUAAUAUAUAAAGAUUGUUUUUAUCGCUUUUAGAUGAGCUCGCGCAAGAUUAGGUUGUUGGUGAGGUAAAAGCUUAACAAGCCUGUGAUCUUUAGUUGGUAUGGGAGUAUGAUCAACCACAUUGGGAAUGAGAAAAGGCCCAGGUUCUUUUUAGAGGCAGCAGUGAGGAAUUUUGGACAAUGAGCGCAAGCUUGAUCCAGCAAUGUUACGUGAGUGAAGAAAGUUAUGUGAAUUGUAAAACUCUAAGUUUGAAGAAGAUAAUGACGGUAUUCAAAUGAAUAAUCCCGACUAACUUCGUGCCAGCAGUCGCGGUAAUACGAAGGGGAUAAGCGUUACUCAGCAUUAUUGGGCGUAAAGGGUGCGUAGGUGGUUUAAUAAGUUAAUACGAAAAUCCAAGACAUUUAAUUUUUGUAAAGUGAUUAAUACUGUUAAACUAGAGUGUAAAAGAGGAUAGUAGUAUUCUUAGUGUAGAGGUAAAAUUCGUAAAUAUUAAGAGGACUAUCAAUAGGCGAAGGCAACUAUCUGGUUUAUUCUGACGCUGAGGCACGAAAGCAUGGGGAGCAAACAGGAUUAGAUACCCUGGUAGUCCAUGCCCUGACCGAUGAAUGUUGAAAGCUAAAGUAUUUAUUUAGUUUUUAAGCUAACGCGUUAAACAUUCCGCCUGGGGACUACGACCGCAAGGUUGAAACUCAAAGGAAUUGGCGGAGGUCUAUACAAGCGGUGGAACAUGUGGUUUAAUCCGCUAAUCCGCGUAGAAUCUUACCAGUUCUUGACUUGUAUAGUUCUCAAGUAUAAAUAUCUUGUAAAUGAUUUUUUUUAAAUUUGUUUUAAAAAAAAUUCCUUUACUCAGAUGUUGCAUGGCUGUCGUCAGCUCGUGCCGUGAGGUGUUCGGUUAAUUCCCUUAACGGGCGCAACCCUUAUUUUUAGUUUACGUACUAUCUUUUUUAAAGAAAAAGUAGAUUAAAUUAUUUUUUAUAAUUUUGAUUUAAUAUCUAGAAAAACUGCCGGCUAACUGCUGGAGGAAGGAAAGGAUUAAGUCAAGUCGUCAUGGCUUUUAAGGAUUGGGCGACACACGUGUUACAAUGUUACUGACAAUGAGAAGCUCCAAUGUAAAUUUUAGCAAAUCUUUAAAAAGUUUAACGUAGUUCAGAUUAUUUUUUGAAAACAAAAAUAUGAAGGCGGAAUCGCUAGUAAUCGCAAAUUAGUACGCUGCGGUGAAUGCGUCACCAGGUCUUGUACACACUGCCCGUCACGCCAUGAGAGUUGGUUGUGUUUAAAAUUAAUCUAAACUAUAUUUUUACUAUUUAGGCUAAAUUUUACAACGCGACCAAUGGUUACAAGAACCAAAAUUAA